rnacentral:tmRNA from 1 species
CCCAGGCGUGACGACGACAACGCCGCUAUGCCUGUAGAAAACCUUGCUUGACCACCUGAUAGGACGCGGGUUCGAUUCCCGCCGCCUCCACCA